AGCAUAUCAAUAAGCGGAGGAAAAGAAACUAACAAGGAUUCCCCUAGUAACUGCGAGUGAAGCGGGAAAAGCUCAAAUUUGAAAUCUGGCAGUUGUUAACUGUCUGAGUUGUAAUCUAGAGAAGUGUUACCUGUGCUGGACCAUGUACAAGUCUCCUGGAAUGGAGCAUCAUAGAGGGUGAGAAUCCCGUCUUUGACAUGGACUACCUGUGCAUUAUGGUGUGCUCUCAAAGAGUCGAGUUGUUUGGGAAUGCAGCUCAAAAUGGGUGGUAAAUGCCAUCUAAAGCUAAAUAUUGGCGAGAGACCGAUAGCGAACAAGUACCGUGAGGGAAAGAUGAAAAGAACUUUGGAAAGAGAGUUAAACAGUACGUGAAAUUGCUGAAAGGGAAACGCUUGAAGUCAGUCACAUCGGCUAGAAAUCAGCCUUGCUUUUGCUUGGUGUACUUUCUGGUUUCUGAUGGGUCAGCAUCAAUUUUGACCAUUGCAUAAAGUCUUUGGGAAUGUGGCAUCUUCGGAUGUGUUAUAGCCCAUUGUCGUAUACGGUGGUUGGGAUUGAGGAACUCAGCACGCCCUGCAAAGGGCCAGGUCUUGACCAUGUCCGUGCUUAGGAUGCUGGCAUAAUGGCUUUAAUCGACCCGUCUUGAAACACGGACCAAGGAGUCUAACAUGCCUGCGAGUGUUUGGGUGGAAAACUCAUUCGCGUAAUGAAAGUGAAAGUUGAGAUCUCUGUAAAGGAGAGCAUUGACGCCCGGACCAGACCUUCUGUGACGGAUCCGCGGUAGAGCAUGUAUGUUGGGACCCGAAAGAUGGUGAACUAUGCCUGAAUAGGGUGAAGCCAGAGGAAACUCUGGUGGAGGCUCGUAGCGAUUCUGACGUGCAAAUCGAUCGUCAAAUUUGGGUAUAGGGGCGAAAGACUAAUCGAACCAUCUAGUAGCUGGUUCCUGC
rnacentral:rRNA from 1 species